rnacentral:rRNA from 1 species
AGUGAACGCUGGCGGCAGGCCUAACACAUGCAAGUCGAGCGGCAGCGCGUCCGACCACCCUCGGGUGGUCGGAUGGCGGCGAGCGGCGGACGGGUGAGGAAUGCAUCGGAAUCUGCCUCGUUGUGGGGGAUAACGUAGGGAAACUUACGCUAAUACCGCAUACGACCUACGGGUGAAAGUGGGGGACCUUCGGGCCUCACGCGAUGAGAUGAGCCGAUGCCGGAUUAGCUAGUUGGCGGGGUAAAGGCCCACCAAGGCGACGAUCCGUAACUGGUCUGAGAGGAUGAUCAGCCACACUGGAACUGAGACACGGUCCAGACUCCUACGGGAGGCAGCAGUGAGGAAUCUUGCGCAAUGGGGGAAACCCUGACGCAGCAACGCCGCGUGAGUGAGAAGGUCUUCGGAUCGUAAAGCUACUGUCGGGUGGAAAGAAAUGUAUGGGGUUAAUAGGCCUUCAUACUUGACGGUACCACCAAAGGAAGCACCGGCUAACUCCGUGCCAG